CAUUGCACUUGUCCCGGCCU
rnacentral:ncRNA from 7 species